AAGGCUAGGCGGGCAGGCUAACACAUGCAAGUCGAGGGGUAGAACACUUCGGUGUUUGAGACCGGCGCACGGGUGCGUAACGCGUAUGCAAUCUACCUUAUACAGGGGAAUAGCCCAGAGAAAUUUGGAUUAAUGCCCCAUGGUAUUAUAGAGUGGCAUCACUUUAUAAUUAAAGUUCCAACGGUAUAAGAUGAGCAUGCGUCCCAUUAGUUAGUUGGUAAGGUAACGGCUUACCAAGACGAUGAUGGGUAGGGGUCCUGAGAGGGAGAUCCCCCACACUGGUACUGAGACACGGACCAGACUCCUACGGGAGGCAGCAGUGAGGAAUAUUGGUCAAUGGUCGCAAGACUGAACCAGCCAUGCCGCGUGCAGGAAGACGGUCCUAUGGAUUGUAAACUGCUUUUAUACAGGAAGAAACCCUCCCACGUGUGGGAGCUUGACGGUACUGUAGGAAUAAGGAUCGGCUAACUCCGUGCCAGCAGCCGCGGUAAUACGGAGGAUCCAAGCGUUAUCCGGAAUCAUUGGGUUUAAAGGGUCCGUAGGCGGCCUUAUAAGUCAGUGGUGAAAUCCCAUCGCUCAACGAUGGAACUGCCAUUGAUACUGUAGGGCUUGAAUUAUUGUGAAGUAACUAGAAUAUGUAGUGUAGCGGUGAAAUGCUUAGAUAUUACAUGGAAUACCAAUUGCGAAGGCAGGUUACUAACAAUUGAUUGACGCUGAUGGACGAAAGCGUGGGGAGCGAACAGGAUUAGAUACCCUGGUAGUCCACGCCGUAAACGAUGGAUACUAGCUGUUCGGAGCAAUCUGAGUGGCUAAGCGAAAGUGAUAAGUAUCCCACCUGGGGAGUACGCACGCAAGUGUGAAACUCAAAUGAAUUGACGGGAAGGGCGAAUUCUGCA
rnacentral:rRNA from 1 species